rnacentral:rRNA from 1 species
GAUGAACGCUGGCGGCGUGCUUAACACAUGCAAGCCGAACGGAAAGGCUCCUGCUUGCAGGGGUACUCGAGUGGCGAACGGGUGAGUAACACGUGGGGGAUCUGCCCAGCACUUCGGGAUAAGCCUGGGAAACUGGGUCGAAUACCGGAUAGGACGAUGGGUUGGAUGCCAUUGUGGAAAGUUUUUUCGGUGUGGGAUGAGCUCGCGGCCUAUCAGCUUGUUGGUGGGGUAAUGGCCUACCAAGGCGUCGACGGGUAGCCGGCCUGCGAGGGUGUACGGCCUCAUUGCGCCUGCGCUACGGCCCAGUCUCCUACGGUCGGCAGCAGUCGGGAAUAUUGCACAAUGGGCGCAAGCCUGAUGCAGCGACGCCGCGUGGGGGAUGACGUCCUUCUGGUUGUAAACUCCUUUCGCUAGGGACGAAGCGCAAGUGACGGUACCUGGAGAAGAAGCACCGGCUAACUACGUG